AUGACACAAGGAGUCAUCCUUGUGCACAAGGAGUGGCUUUGUGCCCUCCAGGGGUUGAAGCGCUCACAGUGCUAGAGGACACCAGGAGAGGGCAGCAGAGAGCUGGAGAGACCUUUGGUAGAGGCCCCAGGAAGCAGGCUGAGAGCAAGAACCAGAAGCAGGGCAAACUGUACCCUACUACAGACUGAAAGGAAUCAAAGUUGAAGGCAUUGUCUGAGGAGAAAGAAUCCAUGUAGAUUUCCCAACUUGGAUCCUCUAUUUGCGGCAAAGUAUAAAGUGAGAGGAAACUUUAAGAAGGUCUCUUUUCCAAACAAAAUUAACUUCCAUCCCAUGUCAUUCAUCCUGUCCAAUUGCCCAUUCUCAGAACUAAUAUUACUAUGAGGUAAAUAUCCAAAUUUAGAUUUUUAUUAUUUUUUAGAUCUUUAUUAUUAGUAUUCUAUUUCAUUUUCCAUUUCUAGCCAAAGGUUAU
rnacentral:lncRNA from 1 species